CUUAGUAACGGCGAGUGAAGCGGCAAAAGCUCAAUUUGAAAACGCUUCGGCGUGUUGUAAGUAAAGUGGUUAGACGCUUUUUAAUAAGUCCCUUGGAACAGGGCGCCAUAGAGGGUGAUAGCCCCGUAUUAAAUUGUCUAGUGUGCUACUUUAGAGCGAGUCGAGUUGUUUGGGAAUGCAGCUCAAAUAGGUGGUAAACUCCAUCUAAAAGCUAAAUAUUGCUGGGAGACCGAUAGCGAACAAGUACAGUGAUGGAAAGAUGAAAAGCACUUUGGAAAAAGAGAGUGAAAUAGCCGUGUGAAAUUGUUGGAGGGGAAGGCGAUGGUAGGAAUAAAGAGGCUGCGGUUUGAAAUAAUG
rnacentral:rRNA from 1 species